GGAACGGCUGGAGCUGGGCCAGGGCAGGCUCAGGCUGGAGAUCAGGAAAAGGUUCUUCUUUCCUGGGCUGCUUGGUACUGCCCAGGCUCCCCAGGGAAUGGGCACAGCCCCGAGGCUGCCAGAGCUCCAGGAGGGUUUGGACAGCGCUGCCAGGGGUGCCCAGGGUGGGAUGUUGGGGAGUUUGGGCAGGGCCAGGAAUGGGACUAAACGAUUCUUGGUGGACCCUUCCAGCUAAGGCUAUUCUGUGAUUCUAUUCUGUGGUUGCCUUGUUGAAGCUCUUACUGGCAGAGCAACCAGGUAAUGUCUCUCUCCCGCCCCGUGCUCAUAGCCUGCAUCCCAAAGCAUGCCAAGCAUCCUGGGAAUGCAGGGUGAGAAGGAAGGGUCAGUGUUUGGCACAGCCAUGUUCACCAGCUGCCUGGUUUGAACAGAGGGUUGAACACAGCACCUGUGGCUGCUCUGAGACAGGGGCAUCACAGGGCUCUUCCCACAGCUUGCAGGGCUGUUGAGGCAGCUUCAGCCUGCAAGUACCAAAUCACUUGUCCAAGACCUACUUUUGUUUGCCGGUGGAGAUGCUCUUAAAUAAUCUUGACUUUUCCAGGUGACACCAUGCCAUGUGGCUGGGGUGGUAAUGCUCCAGCUGUGCUCAAGGGACCAGGCUGGUCUUUCUCAGAUGCACCAUCCUCAGGGAGCCCCCUCUGAGAGCAAACCAAGUGGCCAGAAGUGAUGCUGCUGAUGUGGAGACUCUUGCACUACGAGGGCUGGAUGUGGGUGUGAGCAUCCGAUGCCCUCCCCAGCAGUCAGAAUGCUGAAUUAAUGUGAUGCCUUUAAUUUUACAGGUGUGCAGGCAGGGGUCUCCCAGAAGCUUCCUACCAAGCUGGAGUGACUUCAUGGAGAUGGUCUUUGCAUCUUAAUGACAAUUGAAAACCUGAUUUUUCUACACAGAAUUAAUGGACUACCCGGGAUGCAGCAGGAGCUGUGUAAAACUGCAGCUGGUUGCGAUCCUAUGAGGAAAUCCCAUCUGAUCCCACUCCAGGUCUCCAAAAGUCUCCUUGCUGACUCUUGCUCAGGCCCUCUGAAAUUUCUGUCAUCUCUAAGUUCCCCCUGGCUUUGCUGCUGCCCCUCCCAAGUUUCCAUCCCAUCCCAAGACUCCCUCCUUUGCUCUGUGAGUCACCCAGGCAUUCCCAAACGUAGCAUUGGAUGCUCCACACAGAGCUCAGCUAGCUCAGACAGCAAUAAAUACUCCAGACACUUACUUCCAUCAAUGAGUGCUCAUCCUGCCUGUGUGAAGGAAUUACAGUGCAGUAAAAGCCUCCAGGACUGGGAUUCUCCUUUAUCAGGCCCUCCUCUCCCCAAAAGUGUAAGAGGAGCUGUCUGAGCUGCCUAAACUCACUGAGACGUGUCAGUGUAUCCAGUGCUUUGAAAAACGAGCAGGUGCCUGGCUCCUCUGGCAGGAGCCUGCCUAGCUGUUGGUGCUUGGCUGCUGCAGGUCUGCAGCCAGCCUGGCCUCUUGUUUCUCAUUUUGAGCCUGACACCGGUUUUGUGUUUCUUGGAGGCAGCCCUGGAGAUAAAAAUGUGACAGUGCUGUGGUUUUUCUCUGUAUUCAUCUCCCUGGAGCUGUCACAGCCAGGAGAGCCUGGCAACACAGGCACUUCCACCCAGGAUGAGCAGCCUUGCACUGGGAAGGUGUUUUCUCCUAUUUAUUCCUUUAUCCUCAAGCAGUUGCCAGUUCUUGUGCACAUCAUCCCUGUGUUAUCCUGGCUGCUGCUCUUUCAGUGGGAGCUUGGUCUUGGAGCUGCGUCAGGGGAAGUUUAGGCUGGAUAUCAGGAAAAGGUUUUUCCCCCAGAGGGUGCUGGGGCACUGCCCAGGCUCCCCAGGGAAUGGUCACAGCCCCAAGGCUACCAGAGUUCCAGGAGCUUUUGGACCCAGAGAUGCACAGGGUGGCAUUGUUAGGAUGUCUGAUGUAGGGCCAGGCAUUGCACUCGAUGAUUCUUGUGGGUUCCUUCCAACUCAGGGUAUUUCAUGAUUCACUGACCUCUGGUGAUGCUUCAGGAUCAUCCAGAAGCUGCAUUUCUCCUCCCCUCCCUCCACUGCAGCAGGAGCUGCUGCAGUGACACAGGACAGUGAGUGACACAGGACACAGCAGACCUGCCACUCUGUUGAGAAACCCUCUGAUCAAUGCUGAGGUGCACUGGUGUGGCAUGAAUAUGCCCCAGAGAAGACCAUGGCAUGCCUUGAGUCUCCCUCCAGCUUUUCCUCCAUGAAUGAGAGGCUUCACCAGCAAUUUUCCUUCAGUUGAAAGGACCAGAAGGGAGUUUUACAGAUUAAUUAAACCCCCUAAUUUUGUAAGAAUUUUAGUGUAGGUGAAAGCAAUUUAAUAGAGAAAAAGGGAAUGGGGUCACACCUCCAUGACUUUCCCAGCAUUCAAUAUUUGCUGAGAAAUUCCUUUCAUGGAAGGCAACACAGUAAUAAGCACCUUGCACUUCAAUUUCCUCAUGGAUCCAUGUGAGCAAACCUCACCUUGCCUCUCCUUUUUAGUUUUGAGUAAAUGAAAAGAAAAUCUCUCCAGCUCUGAGAUACUGAGGUUCACUCAUAAAUUUUCCAUUUGAAGGGAAUUGAGGCUCUCACAGCUGCUGUGGCCCAUUUUUCCAUGUCACGCUGUCUGUGCUAUGCAUGCCAAGCUUGGUGCCAACAGUGGUUUCCAUCCCCUGCUUUAGUUUUGCAGGGGAAGGAUUGGAGAGAUGGAGAAGAUCAAGGAAUGAGAGUGUUUAAAUCAAGUAACUCCUCACAGGCAAAUCAGCAACUCCACAGGUUAAGUCCACUCUUGGGCAGUGAAUCAGUGAAGAAAGAGAGAAAGAGGAUCCAGAUGUGGCCAGGAACACCAAGGACUUCAAAACUUCAUCAGAAGCCAUGGGGAAAGGAAAAAGAUGAUAGUGAAAAGAGAAACACCAUCAAGCUGGCCAUGGCAUCAAAGGAUACAAUUGUAUAAUGUUAUAUGGUACAUGAAUAGUAUUGAACUGCUGAAAAAGUUCCACUCCCUUGGGUAAAGGAAGCAGUGCAGAUGCUUUUUAAUGUGCAUCUCUUUGGAAACAAGAUUGGCUGUUGAGUGGAGCAGGGAGAGCCUGCAGAGCGGGAGGUAUUAGGAACAGACACAGAGAACAUCAGCUCAACUCCAAAGUCCCCAUUAAUAAAAGCUCCUACAUAAACACAUAUGUGACCAUAAAUCCAUACAGGUAUUGAUUUUCCUUUGCAAGCUGAGUGCUUUCUCCUGGCUAAUGAAAUGCAGCCCCUUCCUUAAAGAGAGGUCACAGUGUGGAAUACUCAUGAAGAUUUAAUGGGAUGGGAAAAUAAAUAAUGCUCCUCUGAGGGAAAAUACAUCUGAUCUGCCCUGGUUGUACACACUGGAAAAUGUCUGUCUCAACCUGGAAACAGGAAUUCAGACAAAAGCAUUUUGUGUUAUGAGCAGUGCUGGCACAUGCUGAUCUGUGUAGGCCUUCUGGUGGAGUUUGUCAGUCUUCCCUAAAAUCCAGAUAUACUUUUAUUUUGUCCUUCAAGCUUGAAAUAUUUUGCUGUGAUAUUUCAAAAUUGCAUGUUGUAGAUCCCUCCCAGAAGACUGAUUUCGAUGGAAAUUUACUUUUGAAAGGAAUGAGAGGGAGGUGUCUUUACAAACAAAAUAUGGGCCUGCUAGUAGAUAAACCCAGAUACUGACAGGUGAAAGAAGCAAUGGGUGGGACCGUAUAUUUCAUAGGAAUUCCACUAAUUGACACAGACUGUUGCUUACCCAAGGCCGUGCUAAAUUCCUGGAGUUAGAGAAAAAGAACAGAGAUACAAAGAAAAAGAAGGGUGGGUCAACAUUAGGAGGUGGUCUGUAUCAGGCCAUUUGGGAAUUCUGUACCUCUCAAGUACCUCAGGUGAUGGGGAAGGAGAGAGGGAAAUGUGACUGGAAAGUGAGGAUAGAAAGGAGGCUGCAUGCUCUAGCAAUUUGAGAGACCCCAUGGGAAAUGCUCCAUAGCCUCUCCCUUUAUUCAAAUAAAGUUAUGGAACUCUUCUGUCUCCAUUUUGAACAUCAAUGUCUGCUGUUUGUGGAUUAAUUUUCUUGCCACUUUCAAAGCCAUUUUUUAGGUUGGGUUUGUUUUGCAUUUUCUUGGACUCUCAUCAGCUCUCAUCCACCGAGGAAUUCCUAAUCCAAGAACAGAGUAAGUGAUGAGGAAGGAGGUAAAGAAACACUUUUACUUGACUGAGAAAUUUAGUCUAGUGCAAGGUGUCUUGGUUUGAAAGACGGGUGUCUUCCAAGGAAGGCAAGAACCUUCCUUGGAAUAGAGAAUAUGACCCCCCUCACUCUGAAUUAUUAUAACUUCGAAAUUAAGGGGCAUUCAGGCAAAGAUAUAGGAAAAUAAUAACAAUUUUUAGUAGUAUGUAUAUUGCAAGGCAAACAAACAACAAUAACGGCAGCAACAACAA